rnacentral:rRNA from 1 species
GACUAACGCUGGCGGCGCGCCUAACACAUGCAAGUCGCACGAGAAACUCUGUAGCAAUACGGGGCGGUAAAGUGGCGAACGGGUGAGUAAUGCAUGGGUGACCUGUCCUCAAGAUGGGAAUAACCUCGCGAAAGCGGGGCUAAUACCCAAUGCCAUCUCGGUUCUACGGGAUCCGGGAUGAAAGGUAGCUGUUACAGGCUGUCACUUGAGGAAGGGCCCAUGUCCCAUCAGCUAGUUGGUAGGGUAACGGCCUACCAAGGCUAUGACGGGUAGCUGGUCUGAGAGGACGACCAGCCACACUGGGCACUGAGACACGGCCCAGACUCCUAC